GUAAGGUCUACCAUCGAUUUUAGCCUCUUGGCAGCUCUAAACUCUUGUGCAGUUUUAGGAGCUCCUUCUCCUCCCAGCCGCUCUUUAAUUGAAAGUUCGAAGCGCACGGUUGAUAAACUCUGAGCUUUGCCAUUCACUAGUCUAACGGAGAAUCAACAAGCUAGCUUCUCUGAGGCCGUGGACUUGUUGAAAACAGCUUUUCCAGAUCAUCCUGAGUUAGAUCGUAUGGUGUCAAAGACUGCGGUGAUGCCAUCAAACAACUCACGGAUAAUCUCUUAGCCAUUGCUAACAAGAAGGAAGACUUUGAAGCUAGUGUGCAGAAAAUACGUGCAGCGGAGCUUGAGCAGGACAAGAUAGAAUCAGAGCACCAAAGUAGGGAUGCUUAAGCAAAGGAAGUGGAGAACACAACCUUGAGCAGAAGGUCCCAAAUUGAUCAAUUGCAGGCCGAGCUAAAAAGUAAGGAAGCUGAGGGUGUGGCGUUGAGAAAUGAGGUUGAUGCUCUGCUCUUAAAAGGCAAGGAAUUGAAGAAUCAACAUGAGGUUCUGGCUGCACGGCAUAAGUCCUUAAAGCAAUCCGUGGAUUCUGAGGUGGCAAAUGGGCAUAGCUGGCCUAAGCAGUUGGUUCGGGCUCGUCAAAUGCAAGUCUUCUUGACUGAGGAAUGGGACUCCGUGUCCUAACUCGACCUACAUUCUUUGCCUUUACCUUAGUGCUCUUGCUCUUUACUCGGAACUUUUGGGCGUCUUUUGUUUGAGUAUCUUCAGUUUGGUUGUGUGUGUGAAUGUUAAAUGGACUGGAAUUCCCACUGGAUUUUAUCUGUGUUAAUUAUAAUUAAUAUUAUCAUCUCUAAA